UACGUAGGGACCAAGCGUUGUUCGGAUUUACUGGGCGUAAAGGGCGCGUAGGCGGCGCGGUAAGUCACUUGUGAAAUCUCUGAGCUUAACUCAGAACGGUCAAGUGAUACUGCUGUGCUAGAGUGCGGAAGGGGCAAUCGGAAUUCUCGGUGUAGCGGUGAAAUGCGUAGAUAUCGAGAGGAACACCUGAGGUGAAGACGGGUUGCUGGGCCGACACUGACGCUGAUGCGCGAAAGCGUGGGGAGCAAACAGG
rnacentral:rRNA from 1 species